UACGUAGGGGGCAAGCGUUGUCCGGAAUCAUUGGGCGUAAAGAGCGUGUAGGCGGCCCGGUAAGUCCGCUGUGAAAGUCCAGGGCUCAACCCUGGGAUGCCGGUGGAUACUGUCGGGCUCGAGUCCGGAAGAGGAGUGUGGAAUUCCUGGUGUAGCGGUGAAAUGCGCAGAUAUCAGGAGGAACACCAAUGGCGAAGGCAGCCCUCUGGGACGUGACUGACGCUGAGACGCGAAAGCGUGGGGAGCAAACAGG
rnacentral:rRNA from 1 species